rnacentral:rRNA from 1 species
CCUACGGGAGGCAGCAGUGAGGAAUAUUGGUCAAUGGGCUUACGCCUGAACCAGCCAAGUCGCGUGAGGGAAGACUGCCCUAUGGGUUGUAAACCUCUUUUGUCAGGGAGCAACGCCGGCUACGUGUAGCCGGACUGAGAGUACCUGAAGAAAAAGCAUCGGCUAACUCCGUGCCAGCAGCCGCGGUAAUACGGAGGAUGCGGGCGUUAUCCGGAUUUAUUGGGUUUAAGGGGUGCGUAGGCGGAAUGCCAAGUCAGCGGUAAAGUCGCGGGGCUCAACCUCGCUCCGCCGUUGAAACUGGCGUUCUUGAGUGGGCGAGAAGUAUGCGGAAUGCGUGGUGUAGCGGUGAAAUGCAUAGACAUCACGCAGAACUCCGAUUGCGAAGGCAGCAUACCGGCGCCCAACUGACGCUGAAGCACGAAAGCGUGGGUAUCGAACAGGAUUAGAUACCCGGGUAGUC